rnacentral:misc_RNA from 1 species
GAUGAAGAACGUAGUGAAAUGCGAUAAGUAAUGUGAAUUGCAGAAUUCCGUGAAUCAUCGAAUCUUUGAACGCACAUUGCGCCCGCCAGUAUUCUGGCGGGCAUGCCUGUCCGAGCGUCAUUUCAACCCUCGAACCCCUCCGGGGGGUCGGCGUUGGGGAUCGGCCCUCCCUUAGCGGGUGGCCGUCUCCGAAAUACAGUGGCGGUCUCGCCGCAGCCUCUCCUGCGCAGUAGUUUGCACACUCGCAUCGGGAGCGCGGCGCGUCCACAGCCGUUAAACACCCAACUUCUGAAAUGUUGACCUCGGAUCAGGUAGGAAUACCCGCUGAACUUAAGCAUAUCAAUAAGCGGAGGA